UACGGAGGGUGCAAGCGUUAUCCGGAUUCACUGGGUUUAAAGGGUGCGUAGGUGGGUAAGUAAGUCAGUGGUGAAAUCUCCGGGCUUAACCCGGAAACUGCCAUUGAUACUAUUUGUCUUGAAUACUGUGGAGGUCAGCGGAAUAUGUCAUGUAGCGGUGAAAUGCUUAGAUAUGACAUAGAACACCAAUUGCGAAGGCAGCUUACUACACAGUCAUUGACACUGAGGCACGAAAGCGUGGGGAUCAAACAGG
rnacentral:rRNA from 1 species